rnacentral:sRNA from 1 species
UAUCUCUCCGUACGGGGAAGGAUGAGAAGCUUCGACUAAGGUUCGAUUCGAGCGCAGCGAUAAAGCGUUGCCGCAGGCAACGACCCGAAGGGCGAAGCGCGCAGCGCUGAGUCAUCCUUCCCCCACCACCA